GUGAGACAAUCCGUUUCUGUUAUUUAAGCUCUCCGGUUGGUGGUAAUUUGUUAUGGCAGCCCUAGCGAAUUAAUACAAUCUCCAUCUCAGAGUCUGCUUCCCGUGCAGCCCAGCCUCCAACAUCACGUGUGUCUGAGGUCACCUUGACCAUGUGACCUCAAGUGUUGUCUCCUUGAAGGGCAAGGUCCCUGUCUUCUAAUCAUUGUAUCUCCACUGAGUAGAUACUCAAUGAAUCACCUGAUGAUUGCUUGAGGGUACAGGGAAAGGAAGAAAGAUCGUUAUCCAGGUUGAAAGCUGCCUGAAGCACUGCUCUGUAAACCACUUUGCCUUCAUUAAGUACGUAGUGUCUGUCCCGUUCAUUUAGCAAACAUUUAUGGAACACCUACAUUACGGCAGACUCUGUGCUAGGUUUUAUUGGAGAUAACAUUAAUUAGACACGGAUCCCAUCCUCAGAUCACUCCCAAUGUGUUAGAGGAAGGAAGACCUACCCACGGAGUCCUAGGUCACGUUGAAAGGGCUGAAUGCCCCAAGAGAGGGGGAGACAUCUGGUGGAGCGCCAGGGCAGGAGGAGGUGGCUCCUAGCUGGGGAUGGGUGGGCUGGCCCUUGAGGUGGACCUCUCAGGACGGAUGCAUGGAGAUGCUGUAUAUCCUGCUGGCGCUGCCCAGGAUCCCUCUACAAAUAAAACCCAGCCCUGCAGGGAGCUUGCAGUCCAUGGGGCAUCCAGAUGAGCAGCCAAGGCCAAACCAAUGUGAGGUGUGGAGGGAAACGGUGAAGAGCCGAUGCUGGAGUCACGGUCACUGCCCGCAGCAGCUGAGACCACAGAUGCGGCUGCUGUCUGAGGGCUCAUAUCCUAGCCCAGUACUUCCUCAGCUUUUUGUGUCCAAAAGUCUUUCUGGAAAACCCUUAAACAUGUGAUCCUUGAGGCUGUUUUAGAGCUUUUAAACAUAGACGAAUUUAACCAGGAUGCUUUUUCUCCUCUGGACUUCUUUGUUUUAAAUUGGGCUCCUCCAGUAAAUCCAGCUCCUCAGUCAAGUCUUGGGUGAUGGGUUCUCCAUGCUUUUCAUUCUGCAGACUAUUCUGGAGGGUGGAGACCUUCUGAGAAUCGGCUCUUCCAUAAGGCGCUGUCCUCUCAUGCC
rnacentral:lncRNA from 1 species